GACGAACGCUGGCGGCGUGCUUAACACAUGCAAGUCGAGCGGAAAGGCCCUUUCGGGGGUACUCGAGCGGCGAACGGGUGAGUAACACGUGAGUAAUCUGCCCUGUGCUUUGGGAUAGCCACCGGAAACGGUGAUUAAUACCGGAUAUGACCAGCUCUCGCAUGGGAUGUUGGUGGAAAGUUUUUUCGGCGCAGGAUGUGCUCGCGGCCUAUCAGCUUGUUGGUGGGGUAAUGGCCUACCAAGGCUUCGACGGGUAGCCGGCCUGAGAGGGUGACCGGCCACACUGGGACUGAGACACGGCCCAGACUCCUACGGGAGGCAGCAGUGGGGAAUAUUGGACAAUGGGCGGAAGCCUGAUCCAGCAACGCCGCGUGAGGGAUGACGGCCUUCGGGUUGUAAACCUCUUUCAGCACCGACGAAGCGAGAGUGACGGUAGGUGCAGAAGAAGGACCGGCCAACUACGUGCCAGCCGCCGCCGUAAUAC
rnacentral:rRNA from 1 species